GACGAACGCUGGCGGCGUGCCUAAUACAUGCAAGUCGAACGCAGUGGGGACGGGUGAGUAACACGUGGGUAACCUCCCAUCAGAGGGGAUAACACUUGGAAACAGGUGCUAAACCGAUACUGAUGGAUGGACCCGCGGUGCAUUAGCUAGUGGGUGAGGUAACGGCGAACCAAGGCCACGAUGCAUAGCUGACCUGCGAGGGUGAUCGGCCAAGCUGUGACUGCGACACGGCCCAGCCGCGUACGGGAGGCAGCAGGAGGGAAUCUGCGGCAAUGGACGAAAGUCUGACCGAGCAACGCCGCGUGAGUGAAGAAGGUUUUCGGAUCGUAAAACUCUGUUGUUAGAGAAGCGGUAUCUAACCAGAAAGCCACGGCUAACUACGUGCCAGCCGCCGCGGUAAUAC
rnacentral:rRNA from 1 species